AGGUUGUCUGCUGAAACACGGUGAACACGACACGGGUUCCGGAAUUUACAAGUAUUAAUUAUGAUUGCGUUGAAGAGGAUUGUGAGUGUUGCCAUCGUGAUUAUAGCGAUGUUUGCAACGAUAAUGAGCGCGAAACCAGCAACGACUCCUGCUCCUUCAGGGGCAAUUACCAUCUAUCCGGUACCGCAAAGACCAUCGUAUUUACCAAGUGGAUGGGUCUAUCCGAAGCCUAUCUAUCCGAAUCCAACUCUAAAAAUUAAAUAGUCGACACGGAUCGCUUACUAGUAUCAUUAUAAUCAUUAUAAUUAGUGUAAUUAAAAUCAAACAGGCGCAUUUCAAUAGAAAUUUCAUAAUCUAUUAUACUGCGCCAAAUAACAGGAGGCUCUCUUCUAAAAAUAUUACUAAUAAGUCAAACAAACGCGAGUACUAAUGUUUCUGAGUCUGUCUUGUAGUUUACUCUGGCAGAGCUUGUAACUAUCGCGCGCGCGCGUUCUUUGCAAUUCAUCUGUCAAUUGCUUCUACCAGAGCACCGUACGCGAAGAUUGAAAGUGGAAAGCUAGUCUAAAGAUAUGAUAAUUUCUUCAUCUGACGAGAACGAUCAUCACCGGUUGCAAAAAGAUAUUAAAAAUAAUUAAAAUCUUAUUUAUCAAAACUUCUCGCGAUUCUACCAGCGAAUUUCUUCUCAUUAAGCAUGUAGAUUUAUUUUGAAUUAAUUUUAUUGUUGAAAAUUAUUUUGUACUGGAACUAUGGCCAAUAUGUAAAAUAAAAAGUUGGCAAUCUACUUGAUAUUAUUCUUCAGAGCAAGCCCAGUUAGUUAAAAUAAAUAUAAAUAUAUUUAUCUGCUAAUCUAGAAUUGAUUAUAAUCUAACAAAUGAAUUAUAAGUUAGAGCUCAUUGGCAGUCAUUUGAAAUUGAAAUUCUAUUUUUCCUGACUCUAUCUGAUUCAAUUAUCUAGUUAAGAAAGUCGACACAUGAGUCGGUAUUGUAACUAAUUUUAUAAAUAAAACAUCUCUGCAAUAUUAA